rnacentral:rRNA from 1 species
UACGUAAGGUGGCAAGCGUUGUCCGGAAUUAUUGGGCGUAAAGCGCGCGCAGGCGGCCUUUUAAGUCUGAUGUGAAAGCCCACGGCUCAACCGUGGAAGGUCAUUGGAAACUGAAAGGCUUGAGUACAGAAGAGGAAAGCGGAAUUCCACGUGUAGCGGUGAAAUGCGUAGAGAUGUGGAGGAACACCAGUGGCGAAGGCGGCUUUCUGGUCUGUAACUGACGCUGAGGCGCGAAAGCGUGGGGAGCAAACAGG